rnacentral:rRNA from 1 species
AGCGAACGCUGGCGGCAGGCCUAACACAUGCAAGUCGAACGGAUCCUUCGGGAUUAGUGGCGGACGGGUGAGUAACACGUGGGAACGUGCCCUUUGGUUCGGAACAACUCAGGGAAACUUGAGCUAAUACCGGAUGUGCCCUUCGGGGGAAAGAUUUAUCGCCAUUGGAGCGGCCCGCGUCUGAUUAGCUAGUUGGUGAGGUAACGGCCCACCAAGGCGACGAUCAGUAGCUGGUCUGAGAGGAUGAACAGCCACACUGGGACUGAGACACGGCCCAGACUCCUACGGGAGGCAGCAGUGGGGAAUCUUGCGCAAUGGGCGAAAGCCUGACGCAGCCAUGCCGCGUGAAUGAUGAAGGUCUUAGGAUUGUAAAAUUCUUUCAGCGGGGACGAUAAUGACGGUACCCGCAGAAGAAGCUCCGGCUAACUUCGUG